UACGUAGGGGGCGAGCGUUGUCCGAAGUUACUGGGCGUAAAGAGUACGUAGGUGGCUUGUUAAGAUACAUCUGAAAGGUGACAGCUCAACUGUCAAUGGUGGUGUAAGACUGGCAGGCUUGAGGCAAGCAGAAGAGUGUGGAACUCCGAGUGUAGCGGUGGAAUGCGUAGAGAUCCGGAAGAACACCGGUGGCGAAGGCGGUUAGCUGGGCAGUUGCUGACACUGAGGCGCGACAGCGUGGGGAGCAAACAGG
rnacentral:rRNA from 1 species